CAAGGAUCAUUAUGUGCCUACACGAUCUCAGAGGCUGCCACAUACAGCUGUGCUCCCUGCUGUCAGCUGGCUCAUCGCCAUGCCUAAUUUAAUGUUUGCCCUGUUUGCAAUAGUCAGCAAGGGCAAAUUCUCCAUCCCGGAAAAUCAAAUGUAUGCUGACACAAUGAAGUGAUUCUGAACACACAAUCACCUUUAUGUCAUGUGUAAACCGCCUUCUGACAGUGGAUGCCAGCUCUGAGCUGGGUCUGAUCCCCUUGCUCAGGGGUUUCAUCUGGUAGGGGCUUUGCUCUCUGAUGCCAUCAGACUAUCCACAGGAAUCUGGGGCUCCUUCCAUUUGUACCAGCACAAAUAAGAUUUCUUGAGCAUCUCGCAGAAGUUACAAGCCAUCUUUCAGGUCCAUACACCGACAGAUCACAGACAUCAACAGAAGCACAAUUGUGGAGGUGGAAUGUAAUUUGCAGGCAUCGUCUUCAUGGAUACUCAGAGCUGUCCCAUAAGAUGACCCUUGGGAUGAAACAUGAGUUCUGUGCUGUUUUUUGGAGGCCAAGAA
rnacentral:lncRNA from 1 species